GACGUAGGGCGCAAGCGUUGUCCGGAAUUAUUGGGCGUAAAGAGCUCGUAGGCGGUCUGUUGCGUCCGCUGUGAAAACCCGGGGCUUAACCCCUGGCUUGCAGUGGAUACGGACAGACUAGAGGUAGGUAGGGGAGAAUGGAAUUCCCGGUGUAGCGGUGAAAUGCGCAGAUAUCGGGAGGAACACCGGUGGCGAAGGCGGUUCUCUGGGCCUUAACUGACGCUGAGGAGCGAAAGCGUGGGGAGCGAACAGG
rnacentral:rRNA from 1 species